UUGAGAAUAGUGUUGACAGUUUAACAAAAUGUAAAAACAAUUCUGACAAAAAGUACAGAAUUGUGUGUCUGGUGUGUUUCUUCUUGUAUUUAAGUAACUUGCACGAACUUUUUUGACAUCAUGGGGCGACUGGACUGAAUGGACCGACUGGACUUCCUGGACUUUUUAAACAAACUUGACUAUAUAACUCGGACUGACUGGACUUCCUGUACGGACUUGACUUUGCGUAUUUACUUGGACACCUUGGACUGAGGCGUGACUUCAGCACAAUAUCGAGGUCAUAUUGGAACCGGUACACUGUCAUCGCUGCCAGGCGUUUGACCAUAGUCUACUAUUGCCGUCGCCCGUUCGUCUAUCUCAAAUGUGGGCAAGCACACCCCAUGUACCCCAUGCAUGCGCAAAAUAUAUCAAUUCAUCAUGUUUCAAAUUACAAUACAAUACAUUGCAGCAGCUUGAAUCAAAUAGUAAAUAUCAAUACCACAGUACGCCAGUCAAAAAGCAACACACAGCAGCAGCAACAGCAGAAACAUCAGCAGAAGCAGCAAGAACAGCGGCAGCAGCAGCAGUAACAGCUUAAAUCAUAAACCAUCAACAACAGAAUCAUGAGCAGCAGCAAAUACAACAAACCAGAUACUCAAAUAUAAAAGCCACCAAUGGGAAGCUCAACAGCGCCAAGUACAACCAAACCAAAAUUUCCGUGUUCAUAGACAAAAACAAGAGGAGAAUGUAUCAAAAUGACAAAAACAACGACAAGAGUAGCCACGCCAACACACAAAUAAUCAGCAUCGUCACCAGUAAAAUGACUUACACCUAAAUUGUAAUUGACCAGGUCCCACCACUGCGGCAAAAACAAGACACUCCUGGAAUAUGCAAGCUGUACUCAACGCCUGCAACAGAAGCUCCAGCAGGAGAAGAAACAACUUGAGCAACCAAGCCAAAAACAUCGACAGCAGGAAACAGUAAAUAAAUCGCAGCAAGGAAGGCUACAAUAACACCAGCGACAAAACUGCCUUCAGUAGUGCUAACAAGGAAAGUCACUCCUGAAUUGUGAGAUUCGAGAAAGUUACUGUUGCGUACCACGUUUACGCCUGAACCCAAACUGUUAUUUAGGCACGGCUUUGGCAAAUUCCUCAAGUUCAGAGAGCCGGGCCAGCAGAAGUUUUCCGACUGUAGAAAAAAAUCGCCAGGUCCCACCACUGCGGCAAAAACAAGACACUCCUGGAGUAUGCAAGCUGUACUCAACGCCUGCAACAGAAGUUCCAACAGCAGAAGAAACAACUUGAGCAACCAAGCCAAAAACAUCGACAGCAGGAAACAGUAAAUAACAGCACUAAAACCAAUACAAAUUGACUCCCUCCUGGCAGGAAGUGCUCUUGAAGCUGCUGUGUGUAGCGUGGCCUUUGAAGACGUUUUGGCUCGUAUGGCUGCAUAAGGAGGAAUUCUGCUUCCGGGUUUUUGUGUGACGACAGGGAGUUCACGAACCGGCUGCUGGCUGUUUAGUACACUUCCUCCACUGUUUUCAAGCUAAUGCCCAGAUUGCGGUGGUCGGGAUAUCUGCGGCACACAUUAUUACCGUGUCAUCAGCAUACGUAGAGAGCAUCAUGCGGCUUUCGUUGAAAUGACUAUUCAUUGAGGUCAGCGGCAUGUCGGAUGAGAAGAUUUUGUACAGGAUUGGCCCCAGUCUACUGCCUUAGAAUACUCCAGCUGUAAUUGGAUACCGUCGCUGCACUUUACUACAAAGCUACGCUCAUGCAGAGCCACUGUGCCAAACUCGGUCAAAGGCUUCAAUGUCGAUGAAGACGGCUGAGCAGUGUUGGCGCUCCUCGAAGGCUCUCAGAAUGAAUUGUGAGAUUCGAGAAAGUUACUGUUGCGUGCCAUGUUUACGCCUGAACCCAAACUGAUAAUUAGGCACGGCUUUGGCAAAUUCCUCAAGUUCAAAGAGCCGGGCCAGCAGAAGUUUUUCGACUGUAGAAAAAAAUCGUCAGGUAGGCCGGAAAUAUUUUCUUAUUGUUUUAACCCUAGGAACAUUUGAAAAUAGUGUUGACAUGUGUGUUCAUUGUUGUAUUUGGGUACAUAUCGAUAGUAAAAUUAAAG
rnacentral:sRNA from 1 species